rfam:Providencia rettgeri strain MR4 P_rettgeri_contig_298, whole genome shotgun sequence.
UUUAAAAUGACAUUUUCUAUUCGCCUACUAAGCCUACUACUACUCGCAUUAAAUUUGCGCGGUAUGCUUAUGGACGGAAAAUAGAAAGACACUGUCCACAAACAUUAAGAACCCGCGCAACCCGCGGGUUUUUUU